GAUGUGAAGCUGCUGUCUGAUCUGGUGAAGAGUCCACACUGUAGACUGGAGACUCUGAGAUGGAGUUGGUAGUGAUCUCUAACCACCAUCAUCACUGUGUGUUCCUCUGGACCUGACAGAGUAUCAUCAGUGUAUCUGUCCUUCUGCACAGUCUCUGCAGACACACUGAGACUCCUCCACUCCUUCUGCUCCACACUCCACCACCUCCUCCACCUGGACCUGGGUUUCACUUUGUCUUUAUUCAUUCAUAUAUUCUGAACCCAAAGUGCCUCUGCAGAUUAGUUCUAGGCAUACAGAGAAUAAGAGUUAAAAUAAGGGAAUAGUGCUAAUAGUGAUAAUAGUAAUAAUAGUAAUAAUAGUGAUAAUAGUGAUAAUAGUGAUAACAGUGAUAAUAGUGAUAGUAGUGCUUUAGGGGUUCUCUGUAAGGUUAAGGUCCUCAACUAACAUUGAAAGCUUCAUAGCAUCUUUUUCUUCAUAUGUUUCAGAGAUGAAAAGUAAAGACACAGCUCCUGAUGGAAAACAUAGAAAUUUGGUCUUGAUUUCAGGAAUCUAUUUUUAUGUAUAAAAAGAAUGAUUAUGGAUUAUUGAUUGCCAGGUCAUUCAUGUACGGGAUCUUUCACAAUUGUACCAAAUAUAACAUUUUCCUUUGUUAGAUUAGAAAAAAAAUACAAAUUUAGUGGACAACCAAAAAUGCAAAUCAUCCCAGAGAGCAUUAGCAAAAAUACAUUCAUAAAAUAAAUGUUCUGUAGUUUCAAUGUGUUCAUCACAGAACCAGCAGUUAUUGUGAUCAAAACCAAAACGGUUUCUUAAGAACUCAGCAGAGGGGGAUAUUAUAUAUAUUUCACUGAGAACCUUAAAGUGAACCUCCUUCACUUUUGGUGCAAUAGGACAUUUAAAGAAUUUCGAUCUUAGACUCUCAGCAUCUUUUUUAGAGAAAAGUUUUAGAAUUGAAUUUCUGUUUGAAGAGAACGGAUAUAAGUCUUUAGUAAAGGUGACGUUAGGUAGUUUUAAGUUAAUGAGGUUGUGACCAUUCACCAAAAGUGAAGGGAGAUUGGGGGUUUACAUUAUCUUGAGAUAAAUGAUAUGCCAUCACAAUUACAGCUUGAGGGAUUGCUUUGACAACAUUGUUAUACUGACCUCUGUCAACGAGGCUGAGUUUAGAACAAAAGUCCUCAAAUGGUAGAAUGUUUCCUGUAUUGUCCAAUAAAUGCAUCACAGAUCAUAUUCCUUUUUCUAACCAAUUUUGUAAAAAUAUGGAUUUAUUUUUAAGUAAUACAUUCCGGCAAUUCCGUAUUGGGGUUUUAUGGGGACUAUAAUUAUGCUUGUAUAUCAUUUUCCAAUAAAGUAAAACCUGUUGAUGAAACAAGGA